GAUGAACGCUGGCGGCGUGCCUAAUACAUGCAAGUCGAGCGAACAGACGGGGAGCUUGCUCCUCUGACGUUAGCGGCGGACGGGUGAGUAACACGUGGAUAACCUACCUAUAAGACUGGGAUAACUUCGGGAAACCGGAGCUAAUACCGGAUAAUAUAUUGAACCGCAUGGUUCAAUAGUGAAAGACGGUUUUGCUGUCACUUAUAGAUGGAUCCGCGCCGCAUUAGCUAGUUGGUAAGGUAACGGCUUACCAAGGCAACGAUGCGUAGCCGACCUGAGAGGGUGAUCGGCCACACUGGAACUGAGACACGGUCCAGACUCCUACGGGAGGCAGCAGUAGGGAAUCUUCCGCAAUGGGCGAAAGCUUGACGGAGCAACGCCGCGUGAGUGAUGAAGGCCUUCGGAUCGUAAAACUCUGUUAUUAGGGAAGAACAAAUGUGUAAGUAACUAUGCACGUCUUGACGGUACCUAAUCAGAAAGCCACGGCUAACUACGUG
rnacentral:rRNA from 1 species